rfam:Brachypodium distachyon strain Bd21 chromosome 4, whole genome shotgun sequence.
UGAAUACUCUCUCCGUCCCAUAUUAAGUGACUCAACUUUGUCCAAAUAUGGAUGUAACUAUAUUUAAAAAACGUGUAGAUACAUGUAAUAUUUUGUCACUUAAUAUGAGACGGAGGGAGUAAAUA